AUGGAACACAGCGUCCUCCCCGUGUGUCCCUCCCUUUCGCAGGGAGGACACCGCAUUUCCCCCUGCAAAAAAAAAAAAAAAGAAAAAAAAAAAGAAAAAAGAAAAACAAAACAAGAAAGAAACGGAAACAAAACAAGCACGGGUGUUUUGGUGGGGCGUGACUUCAGCCACCCGCCUGGGACAGUGCUGUCCCCCACGCGUGUGUCCUCCCUUUCACAUGGCGCUCUUGGGGACACUGCAGCUUUCCCCGCAAAAAAACCCAACAAACCCAACCAAACAAAAACCGCGUGGGGCAGGGUCGUGUCCCCCCUCCCUGUCCCCGUGUCGGGGGGGCGUUGGGGACACCGCAGCUGCAUUCCGCCCGCAAUAAAAUCACGGGCGGGGUGUGCCCAGCCACCCGCGUGGGCCCCGGGGGACGGAGGGACCCCCCCGGCGAGGCGCGGCUGCAGCAUCCGGGCCGGCCCCGCCACAUCCUGCCGCCGGAAGGAGCCGCGGCCCCGGGACAACCCCCCCGCCGGUGACGUCAUGCGGGGGCCCCCGCCAGGCGUGACGCCAGCCCCGCUCUGUGACGUCACGCGGCGGGCGGGCGGCGCCGCUCCUGCGGGGAGGGGGAUCCCCCCCAACCCCCAUUUCCCCGGGGGGACCCCCCCGCUCCCCCCGAGCCGCCCCGGUACGGGGUGGGGGCUCCGGUGGGCGCCGCCCCCCGCCCCGCCACGUCCCCGGGGGGGGGGACAGGGACACGCGGAGGGGACACACGGACACGCGGGGGAGGGGGGUCGGCUCUGCCGCAGCGCCGGGGUGACCUUGUGCGGGGGGGCGGCGGGUUCCCCUCCCGGGGCGGGGCUCGGUGCCCCCCGGUGCCCCCCGCGGGGGCGGGGAGGGGCCGCCCCCGCCCCCGCCCAGCGCCGCCCGCAGCCGGGGCCGGGCCGCUCGGUGCGGGGCGGCCAUAAAUCACGGCGGGCAGAGCCCCCGCCCCGCCGCCGCCCCCGGGACCGGGCAGGGGGGGCCCAGCCCCGCCGCCGCCACCCCCGCCCCCAGCCCCUGCGGAUGUGGCGGAGCGGCCCGGCCGCCCCGCACCGGCCCCGGCACCGGCCCCGGGGGGCCCCGCUCCGCCGAGCCCCGCACCCCGCCCCGCUUCCCGCCCGGCGCUGA
rnacentral:lncRNA from 1 species